rnacentral:rRNA from 1 species
GGGCAACCCUGAUCCAGCCAUGCCGCGCGAGUGAAGAAGGCCUUCGGGUUGUAAAGCUCUUUCGGCCGGGAAGAAAUCGUGCAGGCUAAUACCCUGUAUGGAUGACGGUACCGGAAUAAGAAGCCCCGGCUAACUACUGGCCAGCAGCCGCGGUAAUACGGAGGGUGCAAGCGUUACUCGGAAUCACUGGGCGUAAAGAGCACGUAGGCGGCCUUGCAAGUCAGAUGUGAAAUCCAACGGCUUAACCGUUGAACUGCAUUUGAAACUGCAAGGCUAGAGUAUGGGAGAGGUAGGUGGAAUUCUCGGUGUAGGGGUAAAAUCCGUAGAGAUCGAGAGGAAUACUGAUUGCGAAGGCGACCUGCUGGAACAUUACUGACGCUGAGGUGCGAAAGCGUGGGGAGCAAACA